rnacentral:rRNA from 2 species
GUCCGGAAUUAUUGGGCGUAAAAGCGCGGCGCAGGCGGUUUUUUUAAGUCUGAUGUGAAAGCCCCACGGCUUCAACCGUGGAAGGGUCAUUUGGAAACUGGGGAACUUGGAGUGCAAAAAGAGAAGAGUGGAAUUCCACGUGUAGCGGUGAAAUGCGUAGAAGAUGUGGAGGAACACCAGUGGCGAAGGCGACUCUCUGUUCUGUAACUGACGCUGAGGAGCGAAAGCGUGGGGAACGACAAGGAUUAGAUACCCUGGUAGUUCACGGCGUAAACGAUGAGUGCUAAGUGUUAGAGGGUAUUCGCCCUUUAGUGCUGACAGCAAACGCAUUAAGCACUCCGGCUGGGGGAAUACGGUUGCAAGACUGAAACUCAUAGGAAUUGAGCGAGCGGGGGCCCGCACAAGCGGUGGAGCAUGGUGGUUUAUUUCGAAGCACGGGUGGACGCCAACAACCUUACCAGGUCUUGACAUCCUUCGCUACUUCUAGAGAUAGAAGGUUCCCCUUCGGGGGACGAAGUGACAGGUGGUGCAUGGUUGUCGUCAGCUCGUGUCGUGAGAUGUUGGGUUAAGUCCCGCAACGAGCGCAACCCUUGAUCUUAGUUGCCAGCAUUCAGUUGGGCACUUUAAGGUGACUGCCGGUGACAAACCGGAGGAAGGUGGGGAUGACGUCAAAUCAUCAUGCCCCUUAUGACCUGGGCUACACACGUGCUACAAUGGAUGGUACAAAGGGCUGCAAGACCGCGAGGUCAAGCCAAUCCCAUAAAACCAUUCUCAGUUCGGAUUGCAGGCUGCAACUCGCCUGCAUGAAGCCGGAAUCGCUAGUAAUCGCGGAUCAGCAUGCCGCGGUGAAUACGUUCCCGGGCCUUGUACACACCGCCCGUCACACCACGAAG